rnacentral:lncRNA from 1 species
UGAGUAACAAAGAUUCUUCCCAAGUCCUAUGAUUUACACAACUAGCAUGGCUAAGCAUUACUAUUAAACUUGGACAUAUGAACCAUAUUUAUUUGCGACCACUACAUGGUUAGGAAGGAGGGGUAUUAAGAAAGUCAAAGGAGGGUGUCAAUAUCUUUUACAAGCUCGUCAAGAUCCCAAUCACCCAACUAAAUCCAAGCAAAACCACAUAAUCCAUCAUAAAAUUAUGUCAAAAUAUGACAAUCAACUAACUAAAUCCAUUUUUUUCCUAAUUAAAUUAAAUAUUUGUUUAUCCAUCAAUAUAAUAAUCCUCAUGCUUAUCUUGUAGACCAAAAAUCUCAUAAUCCACCAAACUUCCUCGACUAUCUUCUGAAGACACAAUCACCUAACUAGAUCCAACUAAAAUCUCAUAAAUCACCGAGAAAUUUGGCUCAAUGUCGCGAUCACCUAACUAAAUCCAAAUUGUUCAAAAUUAGUUAAUCCACCGAACAACUUUGACAUCUCCCCAAGAUCACAAUAUACUAACUAAAUCCAUUGAAAAUCUUGUAAUCCACCGCGAAAUUUGUUCAAGAUCACAAUUGCCUAACUACAUCCAGAUUGCUCCAUGUUACUAAAGAUCCAUUUAUCCACCAAUAUAAUAACCACUGUGGUCCCUUACUAGACCUAAAUUAGCAUAUUUCAUCAAUCAUCUCGGACUAUCUCUUUAGGAUCACAGACAUCUAACUGAAUUUAGCAUAUUUCAUCAAUCAUCUCGGACUAUCUCUUUAGGAUCACAGUCAUCUAACUGAAUCCAACAAAACCUCAAAAUCCCAUCAUGAAUUUGGUUGAAAAAAAACAAUCACCUAACUAAAUCAAAAUUGUUCCAAACUAAAUUAAAGAUCUGUUUAUCCACCAAUAUAAAAUCACCAUUCUCAUCUUCUAUAUCUAAAAUCCCAUAGUCAAGCAAACAUCUUUGACUAUAUUCUCAAGACAUAAUCAUCUAACUAAAUCCAUGUAAAAUCUCAUAAUCCAGCGUGAAAUNNNN